UACUAGCCCCGAUUGCAGUGACAUCCUUUUUCUGAGUGGCCUCAGCCUGGCGAAAAAGAUAUAGCGGAAAGCGGGAAUAAGC
rnacentral:sRNA from 1 species